CUUUCGUACUGAGAAGAUUUGAUUUAAAAGAUAGAAGCCGACCUGGCUUAUACCGGUCUGAACUCAAAUCAUGUAAUUUAUUAUAAGUCGAACAGACUUC
rnacentral:rRNA from 2 species